rnacentral:tRNA from 1 species
GGUAGGUUGCCGGAGCUGGUAACGGGCCUCCUUGCUAAGGAGAGACGUGGGAAACCAUUCGGGGGUUCGAGUCCCUCACCUACCG